rnacentral:rRNA from 1 species
AGAGCGAACGCUGGCGGCGUGCUUAACACAUGCAAGUCGAACGCGCAGCAUUCUGUAGCAAUACAGGGUGUGGGCGCGUGGCGAACGGGUGCGUAACACGUGGAUAACCUUCCUUGAGGUGGGAAUAACCCAGUGAAAAUUGGGCUAAUACCGCAUAACAUCGCGAUGGCACAUGCUGAUGCGAUCAAAGGCGCAAGUCGCCACAAGAGGGAUCCGCGGCCGAUUAGCUUGUUGGCGAGGUAAUGGCUCACCAAGACGAUGAUCGGUAU